rfam:Brassica oleracea var. oleracea cultivar TO1000 chromosome C5, whole genome shotgun sequence
CCUAAAGCUUCUUUAGAAGCUACUGAUACAAUGAAUGAAUCUUUA